UACGUAGGGACCGAGCGUUGUCCGGAUUCAUUGGGCGUAAAGAGCUCGUAGGCGGCUGUUCAAGUCGAACGUGAAAACUCGGAGCUCAACUCCGAGCCUGCGUUCGAUACUGGACGGCUAGAGUCUGGUAGGGGGAUCUGGAAUUCCUGGUGUAGCGGUGGAAUGCGCAGAUAUCAGGAGGAACACCGGUGGCGAAGGCGGGAUCCUGGGCCAUUACUGACGCUGAGGAGCGAAAGCGUGGGGAGCGAACAGG
rnacentral:rRNA from 1 species